GACGUAGGGGGCCAGCGUUGUUCGGAAUUACUGGGUGUAAAGGGUUCGUAGGCGGUGUGGCAAGUCGGGAGUGAAAUCUAUGGGCUUAACUCAUAGGCUGCUUCCGAAACUGCUGUGCUUGAGUGUGGGAGAGGCGCGUGGAAUUGCAGGUGUAGCGGUGAAAUGCGUAGAUAUCUGCAGGAAUACCCGUGGCGAAAGCGGCGCGCUGGACCACAACUGACGCUGAGGAACGAAAGCUAGGGGAGCAAACGGG
rnacentral:rRNA from 1 species